AUCCACCUGACGAGCCCUAACUAGGACGAAACGCGCGUCAAGCUGGAU
rfam:Schistosoma mansoni strain Puerto Rico chromosome 1, complete genome